UAAUACGUAUGGGGCAAGCGUUAUCCGGAUUUAUUGGGCGUAAAGCGCGCGUAGGCGGCUUGUUAAGUCAGGUGUGAAAUCCGGGGGCUCAACCCGCGGCUUGCAUCUGAAACUGGCAGGCUUGAGUCUGGUAGAGGAAAGUGGAAUUCCUGGUGUAGCGGUGAAAUGCGCAGAUAUCAGGAGGAACACCAGUGGCGAAGGCGGCUUUCUGGGCCACGACUGACGCUGAGGCGCGAAAGCUAGGGGAGCGAACAGG
rnacentral:rRNA from 1 species